rnacentral:rRNA from 1 species
ACCUGGAAGACCAACGGGCCCCCAGACCUCCCCUACCGGGGAGGGCACGCAAGUGGAGGGAAUCUUUCCCACAAAUGGGACGGAAAAGCCAUGAUGGAGCAACGCCNGCGUUGAAGGAUUGAAGGUCCCUAGGGUUGGUAAGACUUCUUUUAUUAAGUGAAGAAUAUGACGGUAACCUUAUGGAAUAAGCACCGGCUAACUAUCGUGCCACGCAGCCGCGGUCAUACUGUAGGGUAGCAAGCAUUAUCCGGAGUGACUGGGCUGUAUAAGAGUUGCGUAGGAUGGUUUGUUAAGUAGGUAGUGAUAUCUGGCGGCUCAACCGUACAGGCUAUUACCUAAACUGGCAGACUCUGAGAAAUGGUAGAGGUAACUGCGACAUUUCUUGUGUAGGAGUGAAAUCCGUAUGAUAUUAGAAGGAACACCACAUGGCGUAGGCUAGGUUACUGGACCAUUUCUUGACACUGUAGGCACGAAGAGCGUGGGGAGCAGCACACGGGAAUUAGAUAC